rnacentral:lncRNA from 10 species
CAACUAGAACAUGGCUUAGCCAAUUCCCUGGAAGUUAACAUUUCAAAUACCUGGACACAUUCCCCCCUUUGGAGAGAAGGAAAUGUGUGUAUUGUGGAAUUCCAAAAAUCUCUGCCUGAGAGAUGUAUGGGAGCCGAGGGAACUAGCAGAGAGAGGGUACAGGCUGCCUGAGAAUGAAGCCACAGAGAAGUAAGCAGUGUAGAGAAAAAGA